rnacentral:tRNA from 1 species
CGGGCAGUAGCUCAGUGGUAGAGCUCCUGCUUCUUAUACGGGAAAACCUGGGUUCGAUUCCCGGCUGCCUAC